GCUGACACAUUCCAGCCAAUCAGCAGCAGACACUCCCUCCCAGACCCUGCCACCUCCUGGACAGCUCACUAAGAAUGCAGCUUCAAAAUGGAUGCUGUCCAGGAGGUGGGAGAGUCUGGGAGGGAGGGUCUGCUGCUGAUUGGCUGGAAUGUGUCAG